rnacentral:rRNA from 1 species
GACGAACGCUGGCGGCGUGCUUAACACAUGCAAGUCGAACGGAAAGGCCCUGCUUUUGUGGUGUGCUCGAGUGGCGAACGUGUGUGUAACACGUGUGUACUCUGCCCUUGUCUUUGGGAUAACUUCGGGAAACUGGGUCUUAUACCGGAUAGGAGCUCCCCCUGCAUUGUGGGGGUUGGAAAGUUUCGGCGGUUGGGGAUGGACUCGCGGCAUAUCAGCUUGUUGGUGGGGUAGUGGCUUACCAAGGCUUUGACGGGUAGCCGGCCUGAGAGGGUGACCGGCCACAUUGGGACUGAGAUACGGCCCAGACUCCUACGGGAGGCAGCAGUGGGGAAUAUUGCACAAUGGGCGGAAGCCUGAUGCAGCAACGCCGCGUGCGGGAUGACGGCCUUCGGGUUGUAAACCGCUUUCGCCAGUGACGAAGCGUGAGUGACGGUAAUGGGUAAAGAAGCACCGGCUAACUACGUG